AUAAUGAUACUUCUGCCCAGCCACAGCCCCUUCGGGGAUCACGCAAUGGGGGCAGCCCGGUGAGAACCACGGGGAGGUUGGAUUCCUAUG
rnacentral:ncRNA from 1 species